rnacentral:rRNA from 1 species
AUUGAACGCUGGCGGCAUGCUUUACACAUGCAAGUCGAACGGUAACAGGCCUUCGGGUGCUGACGAGUGGCGAACGGGUGAGUAAUGCAUCGGAACGUACCCAGAGGUGGGGGAUAACGCAGCGAAAGCUGUGCUAAUACCGCAUGUGAUCUGAGGAUGAAAGCGGGGGACCGAGCAGCAAUGUUUGGCCUCGCGCCUUUGGAGCGGCCGAUGUCGGAUUAGCUAGUUGGUGGGGUAAAGGCCUACCAAGGCGACGAUCCGUAGCUGGUCUGAGAGGACGACCAGCCACACUGGGACUGGGACACGGCCCAGACUCCUACGGGAGGCAGCAGUGGGGAAUUUUGGACAAUGGGCGCAAGCCUGAUCCAGCAAUGCCGCGUGCGGGAAGAAGGCCUUCGGGUUGUAAACCGCUUUUGGCAGGAACGAAACGGUGUCCGCUAAUACCGGGCGCUAAUGACGGUACCUGCAGAAUAAGCACCGGCUAACUACGUG